AAUUCAAUUCUCUCAGCACCUUCAUCUGGUUUUCUUUUGACUAGGCUAGAAACUCUAAGAAGCUUGUAUGGUGCUACCUCUCCUGUUAUCUUGUUGAUUAAUAUUUUAGGAGGCCCCUCCAUAAUAGUGGCCUUGGCAACUUUCAAAGGACAAGAAGUAAAACAGUGCAGUCUGGAAGCAUGUGUGAACUCAUUACGUUGUUGAAAGAGGAAUUCAACAGUGCCAGAAAAUGAAUGCUGGUCUUUAUCAUCGGCAAGACACUAAGUGAG